rnacentral:rRNA from 1 species
UGAUGGGUGGGGUGGGGAUGGUAGGUGAGGAUGAGAGCUAACCAAUACUAAUUGCCCGUGAGGCUUGACCAUAUAACACCCAAGCAAUU